rnacentral:snRNA from 1 species
GGGCUCACUUCAGCAGCAGACUAUACUAAAUUGGAACAAUACAGAGAUGCUAGCAUGGCCCUGUGCAAGGAUGAUGUGCAAAUUUGUGAAACAGUCCAUAUUUUU